AAUAACCAAAUAUAACACUUGGGUUAAGUGUUAUGUUUGUAAUUUUUCUUACAUCUCCACCGCCGGGAGCCCAGGUAUCAUAUACACCACCGAAAUACAAAGCCUUGAGCACUAGGAGGAAAGCGCCAGCACCUAGCAAGAUUAGGUGAAUACCCAAAAUUGUGGUCAUUUUGUUCCUAUCUUUCCA
rnacentral:antisense_RNA from 1 species